rnacentral:rRNA from 1 species
AUUGAACGCUGGCGGCAUGCUUUACACAUGCAAGUCGAACGGCAGCACGGGGGUAACCCUGGUGGCGAGUGGCGAACGGGUGAGUAAUGCAUCGGAACAUAUCUUAAAGUGGGGAAUAACGCAUCGAAAGGUGUGCUAAUACUCCAUAUACUCUAAGGAGGAAAGCGGGGGAUCGAAAGACCUCGUGCUUUAAGGGUGGCCGAUGUCUGAUUAGCUAGUUGGUGGGGUAAAGGCUUACCAAGGCGACGAUCAGUAGCUGGUCUGAGAGGACGAUCAGCCACACUGGGACUGAGACACGGCCCAGACUCCUACGGGAGGCAGCAGUGGGGAAUUUUGGACAAUGGGCGAAAGCCUGAUCCAGCAAUGCCGCGUGGAUGAAGAAGGUCUUCGGAUUGUAAAGUCCUUUCGGCGGGGACGAUGAUGACGGUACCCGCAGAAGAAGCCCCGGCUAACUUCGUGCCAGCAGCCGCGGUAAGGCGUAUGUGU